rnacentral:lncRNA from 1 species
CCAUGAGUUACCUCCCGAUAAUGUUCAGUUGUCAGUAAAUAGGCAACUAUUGA